rnacentral:rRNA from 1 species
UCUAAUACCGGAUAUGACACGGGGUCGCAUGAUCUCCGUGUGGAAAGCUCCGGCGGUGAAGGAUGAGCCCGCGGCCUAUCAGCUUGUUGGUGAGGUAGUGGCUCACCAAGGCGACGACGGG